rnacentral:rRNA from 1 species
CAGUAGCCGCGGUAAUACGAAGGGUGCAAGCGUUACUCGGAAUUACUGGGCGUAAAGCGUGCGUAGGUGGUGGUUUAAGUCCGUUGUGAAAGCCCUGGGCUCAACCUGGGAAUUGCAGUGGAUACUGGAUCACUAGAGUGUGGUAGAGGAUAGUGGAAUUUCCGGUGUAGCAGUGAAAUGCGUAGAGAUGUGGAGGAACACCAGUGGCGAAGGCGGCUCUCUGGACUGUAACUGACGCCGAGGCGCGAAAGCGUGGGGAGCAAACAGGAUUAGAUACCCGGGUAGUCCCUGUCUCUUAUAC